AGCGAACGCCGGCGGCAGGCCUAACACAUGCAAGUCGAACGAACCCUUCGGGGUUAGUGGCGGACGGGUGAGUAACACGUGGGAACGUGCCUUUAGGUUCGGAAUAACUCAGGGGAACUUGUGCUAAUACCGAAUGUGCCCUUCGGGGGAAAGAUUUAUCGCCUUUAGAGCGGCCCGCGUCUGAUUAGCUAGUUGGUGAGGUAAUGGUUCACCAAGGCUACGAUCAGUAGCUGGUCUGAGAGGAUGACCAGCCACAUUGGGACUGAGACACGGCGCAAACUCCUACGGGAGGCAGCAGUGGGGAAUCUUGCGCAAUGGGCGAAAGCCUGACGCAGCCAUGCCGCGUGGAUGAUGAAGGUCUUAGGAUUGUAAAAUCCUUUCACCGGUGAAGAUAAUGACUGUAGCCGGAGAAGAAGCCCCGGCUAACUUCGUGCCAGCCGCCGCCGUAACAC
rnacentral:rRNA from 1 species